CUACUACUCCCUCCGUCCCAAAAUUCUUGUCUUAGAUUUGUCUAGAUACGGAUGUAUCUAAUACUAAAAUGUGACUUGAUACAUCCGUAUUUAGACAAAUCUAAGACAAGAAUUUUGGGACGGAGGGAGUAUUAU
rnacentral:pre_miRNA from 1 species